AUGGUUUACCUCAUGCCACGAGAGUCACCUGAGUCUGACACCACCUCGAGCAGCAGCUUCAUUCCACUCACGCUGACGCUUCCCACCUUCAAGAACCUCAGCUUCCGUGCUCCUCAAGAUCUCCAGCCACGCUCCUCGCCAAGAGCUCCAGCCACGCUUACCCACAACACUGCUUGGACCAGCAAAGAAAAUAAACUUUCUACUUACCAACCACUUACCUGUCUCCUCCUUCCGGGUUUCAGCAUCUGGGUCCGUCUCGGGUUUUGAUCAUGACAAUAAGUAAUGUAAUAAGAUUCUUAACUAAAAUAACACCUUGGAAACUAAGCUAUGCUGAAAUAUUUUUCAGUACAUUUUGGCAGAUUUAAUCCUCAGUUUGCUGAUAAUUGAGUUCCAUGAAUAUUAUUGCUCCUUUUGCGUUUACGUAUCAUCAUACUUACACCCCCCGCUUCACUUUAAGGUUACACUCUUUGUCAAGGUGAUGAUUUUAAGAUCCUGCUAGUGUGCUUUGAUCUCAAUAAUGCUUCCACUAUAAAUUAGAUUUAUUUUCCUGCAUCUUUAGUCAAUUUAAUCAUGCUUUGUGCCAAAGGACAAAAGACGAGAGAUUUUCUUGGACAUCAUCCAAUGAGAUUGAAGCCCAACAAGUAGUGUCCUCCAGAAUGCCUCAUCUGUCCUGAAGAUGUAAUUUACUCAGAUAAGCUGUGCCAAGUUUGAAAGCUCCGGGUUUUUUUGUUGUUGUGCACUUUGCGCAUCUUAAGUGUCAUCGAAUAGAUUUUGAAUGAAAUACAAACUUUUUAAAAGGUUACUUAGAGGUGCUGCCAAUUUUGAAUCCUUUGUUGUUUUAGAGUUUUUUUUUAUCCCUCUUAGUCCUAUAAACACACUAACAGGCUUAUUGGAAACAUAAUCCAACAUAAAGCUCUGUAAGCAUUUGUCUGCCAAAAAUGACCCUUGUGCAGAUUGUUAGACUGCUGUUAAAGGGGAAAAAGUGUACACAGGGGAGUUUGUGUGAUCACGGCGGUUCCGAUGACUCAGCCUGCAGCAGAGUUCACACCGCUCUGCAUCGCUGAGGAUUUUCCUCCUCUCACCACCCGCCUCACUUCUGUUAGGGUACGGCGCUGCCCGUGAGCAUUGCAGGCCUCUGCUGCAAAGGUUCGGCAGCACACAAAAAGCCUAAAUGCAGACUGCAAAUCACACAAAGUAGCACAAGCGUGCACGAGCCUUGCUGCACAGCGCCACAGCAAAGCUGCUUUACUAUUAAUGUGUGUGGAAAAGCAAGCCUGGAGACACUGCAAGCAUGCAGAGAUUCAUAUACAGUAGGAGUCGAAUAAAAGAAAACGCCUGUCAGCAGCUGGAUGUACUGCAGGGAUGUUUAUGCUGCAGAUCAGGGGUUAUCAUCAUGAAACUGGAGAGAAAAGUUUGACCAGAAACAGGAUAUUGUCUUCAUUCGUUAAUCCAAAUUGUUGAUGGUAAAUUGCAAUUACAGUGCAUCCUUUCUCUCAUCAUUAUACAGGAAACACAUAAACAACUGAAAUACACACCCGUUUCUAUUGCUUGAUGCAAACUGCAACAACAGGCCCCCUAAUGAAAAAACAAUUCUUAAAAUUAGAAGAAAAAUGUCUGUAACCCUUGUGCUAUCCUAGGCACUUUAACAUUGGGAGUUGGGUCAUCUAGACCCACUAGACAGUGCUCUGAACCUUUUUUUUCAAUGAUUUGUGAUCUUCACUGGUGUCCAUGUAUUACAAGAAAUCUUUCCACCUUUAUCCACCUUUGUCAUGGUAGGGAGAACACGUCAAUGUAAGUGUGGGGUCAUCUAAGAUAGCACAAGGGUUAAAUAAGCAUUAAAUCUGCCAGUGGGGUUAAGAAAAAUAGUCUCACCAAGAAUUCUUAUUUUAAGAAAGAAAUUCUAGUCACUAAGACAUAUUCUCUUUAACAUUUUGCUUUUAAAAGACUUUUUGGUUUUUGCAAAAAAUAAAAAUUGUUUUCUUAAAACAAGUGUGUUUAACUUUCUUAAGAUUCUGUAUUUACAGUGUCGUUUUAAGGAUCACUGAGGUCAUGACUGCAGUUGUAAUUCUGUUCUCCACCAGGAGAUGAUGUGCUAAGUCACCACUGUUAGAUGAGAACACCCUCUUCCUCCUCCUCCUCCACCCUGCACUAAAAUUAGCUCAGUGAGUUUUCUUUUUGUCCUUUGGAUAUUAUUCCAUGACAACCUGCAUUUGUUUGCAGCAUUGUUAUAUAAAAUAGACUCAAAUUCUACUUAAUAAUAAGUUUUUAUUAGUAUUUUACUGUCUUUGCUUAUUUAUUGGCAAAUAAAGUUGAUUUUUCCCCCCGUUUUUCUGCCUCAAAGUUGAUUAUUUCUU
rnacentral:lncRNA from 1 species